rnacentral:piRNA from 1 species
UUGAAAGAGGAGAGUAAUGAU